AGGGAGAGGAGAAAGGUGACAUCUGCAAAAAAUAAUGAGGCCGUAGCAAAGUGUGCUCACUGUGGAAUGGAGACAUUCAUUCACAAUUUACUGAGCAGCUAUUAUAGAGGAAGGGCUACAACGAUACCUGCAUUCUCCGUUGGUCUCAAGAUAAUUGCUGGGAGCUGCUAAAACCAACUAAGACUCGAGGGAAAUCCCCACUACUCUAUAGCAGAAAUGCCCUGGAUUAAGGAAAGAAACUAAGCAAGAAGGUUGACAUCAUAUACAAGAAUGAGAGAAGAGCUAAGACUUGGCUCUAUUUCCUACCAGCUGGGAAAUUGCUGAAUUUUUUUUAUUUUUAUGCUUGCACCUGCAAAAAAUAAAUUUUAAAAACCAAACCAACAAACAUAAAACUAUUUUAUUGAAAAGCCCAGUUGCUUACUUGAUUAAUACAACACUUAGUAAAUCAAGGUGAAAGUAAUUAGGCAUUAUUUAGUCAGAUACAAGUUGUUGUUCCUUUUGGUUUUUAAAAACCCUGCACCAUAUAAGAUGUGUUGCUAAGGCUGCUAAACACAGGAAGUUGCAUUUUACUGUUGUUUCCAAAUAUGCCUAAUGUCAC
rnacentral:lncRNA from 1 species